rnacentral:lncRNA from 10 species
GUCUAGCUGGGGCUCGCCCGGCGCCUUCCUGGACGCAGACGUAUGAGUCCCAACUCCACCCAGUCCGGCCUGGCCUCUGUCCCCGGGUGACCGCGGAAUGGGGGGGCGGGAGCUAGCGAGCAGGCCCUCAAGCGCGUCUGGCCGCCUCCUUUGUCUUGAUGCCCACGUCUGGUUAGGACCCCUGCUGUCCAUUUUAUUAAAGGAGCUGUAGAAAGCGGCCUGGGGCCCAGCGACCUGCCCAGGGCGGACGAGGAGGCGCGACUGGCCCGAUGCCGCAGGCUCUCUGCCCAGUGUGCUCAGGUGGGAGGGCGGGGACAUGAAUCGAGCCACAGAGUGCCCUGGGCACGGACCCCCCGCCCCCCCCGGCCCCGGGCCCCGAGCCCCGAGCCCCGAGCCCGGCCACCGAAGCCCGUGCCACUCGCCAGCUCCUGCGAGACGAGCCUUUCGAGCGCAGCUCAGGCAUUUGGUUCAGGGUCCUACUGCCGGAGUCGUCUGAGGCCUCCAUCCGUCUGUCGUCACGAAAAAGGUUUUGGGGGGACUAAUAAGCACUUCCUGAAUGCACAUUUGCUCCACGCCCCUGCUGUAGGGAGAGGGUCUGCAGACACUUCAACAAAUAGAAUCCUAGGACCUUACCUAAGUGGAGUCUCGCUAUGUUCCUCAGGCUGAUCUCAAACUCCUGGCCUCCCAGAGUGCUGGGAUUACAGGUAUGAGCCACUG